rnacentral:misc_RNA from 1 species
GGUUGUUUUCUCUUUCAAUGGCUUUGAACUUGCAGUUCGUUCCUUUUGCACUUUUCCAUCCUUAUCUGAUAAUCCCAAAGUCGCAUUCACGUUGGAGACUGUAGUCAAUCUGGAGGCAGUAAAGCUGUUCUGCUUGGCAGCAGGCAGCUCAAAUCCUGCAGAGGGAAGAGAAGUAGCAAAUUUACCAGAACUGCCCCUGCGAUGCCAGCCAGGAGAGGAGUUAUCAUCAGCUAAGUUAGUGGUAGUAGGAGAAGUGAAUUCAGAUGGAUUGUAGCUUCCGACGGGGAUAGAAUCAUGUCGUAGAGGGGACAAGGGUGCCGGAUGAAGAUUAGCGGGACGGGGUAGGGAUACGUCGACGGAGAGAUGACGAGGAGGAGGGAUCAUAACAGGGGAAAGAGAGUUACCGGAAGGGGAUAGAUCGGAAACAGGAG